AGGAGCUGAGCUUAUUAUUCGCACAGGAAAGGCAUGCCUCACUCGGGCUGACUUUUGGAGCCUGGGCCUGAAUCACAACAUGGACUCAACGAUCGGAAACAGCUGUUUGGAGUUGGUUUCAAAAAUUGCCAGGUCAAAGGGGAAAGAAAUCUACGUUGCUGACUUGUAUGUCGUACCAACUUGGCUGGCCCACCACAGUGACCCACUGUUAAGUAUGCCUAAUGACAUUCGCACAAAAGAAUUCAUUAUAAUUCCAAUUUGGACACCAGGACAUUACCAGCUAUGUGUAAGUUACAGUUCUCAGUUCUUUGUUCCAAAAGCUAAUAGAAAUUUCAGUAAUCUCAUAUGAAUAUAAAACGGAUUGUUGCAUCUCUUGAGAACUUUAACAUUAUGAAAUGUUUAUUGCUUAAGCUGUAGUGUCCAUUCAACUCUCUCACUGCAUGUCUGCAUGUUACGGAUAUACUGCAUGUCUCCAUUAGGUGCUGAAGCCUGUCCUUCGGGAGAUUCUUUUACUUGAUUCUAGGUGUUUUGAGACCCCACAUGGCUUUGAUCAGAGAUAUACCGCUCUGUUGAGAGAUCUUGCACAAAGGAUAAAUCCUGGGGAAUGGACAGAGAAAACUGGGUACCAUUUUGAGAAGUUUCCUCGUCAAACCAGUGGGAAUGACUGUGGAGUCUUCAUGAUAAUGGUGGAUAUGCCAGCCCUUAGGAGGUGGUGGUGUAUCAUGCUGAUGGAAAACUUCACACUGGACAAGUACUUAUUUAACAUUAGGGCAUAUACAGAUUCUCACAUGAUUCAACCUUUAAUAGCAGGAUUCAUACUUCAAGUCAUUGCAUUUCUGAUAAUUUUUGCAUUUUCCACUCUUACCUCCCUCCACUACUUUGGAGGGAGGUAAGAGGAGCAGUGUAAAGGUCCAGUGGAGGCUUUACACUGGACCAAUGAAGCAAUGAAUCUCCUAAAAGGUCAUCGGCAGCCUGUGAUGCGUCUGAGGAAGCGCAAGUUUGAGGAGAUGGAGAAUAUUGAAGACAUACCGGAAGCGAGAAAUUGGGUAACGCAGAAUAUUGAACACACACAGGAAGCGAGAAAUUGGGUAACUCAGAAUAUUGAAGACAUGCAAGAAGCGAGAAAUUGGGUAACGCAGCUGAAGAAACAGAACCUCUUCAAAGGUGAAGUCCAUGUGCCACACUUCCUUGCCA